rnacentral:lncRNA from 1 species
UCCUUAUAAUUAUUCACCUUUCUUCACUUUUGCUUUUACCUUUGAGCAAUCCGAAACAACAAACUCAAAGCCUCAAUUUUUAUUAGAGCUCUCUUCUUUUCUCCUUCUUCUAUGACCAUGGAUAUAAUGUUUUCUUGAUAAUUCCUUGAUUCCACUUCUUCAUCCUCUAUUGAAUCAGUUUCUGGCCGAAAUUGCUUGAUAAUUGCCUUUGUAAAAUUCCCCCAAGUGGCAAUUGGAUUGCCUGAAACCCAUAAUUGGUACUAUGCAACAUAUCUACCUGCCUGAAACCCAUAAUUGGUACUAUGCAACAUAUCUACCACUCAUCCACCGCACAACUUUUGGUAUUUGAUUUUCUUCUUAACAUAAACCUCCAGCAUCAAAAUAUUUCUCAACCUUGUCAUUCGUAACUCUUUGAGUACUCUUCUCCAAUCUAUAAAUUCCUUCAACAUAUCAUCAAAAAUACCAAACAUUCCUUCCAUUUGAUGACCACUCAAUUUUUUCCCUUUUUUUUCUGUCCCGGAUCAAAAGUGCUCUCAUACCAGUUGAUAGAUACCAACUGAUACACAAAAAGAAAUAGGGAAAAUCCUUAACUUUGAGAGUUUCCACCUCCUCUAAUAGCAAAAUGGCCCAUUUCCAACCAAAUUCCAAGAUAUCCUCUCUCUCAAUCACCCCCUCUAUUUAUAGGCAACACUCUCAUUCUCCAAAUUAAUUAAUUCCUAUUCUAAAAUUGCGGUUACAAAUGAUAGUUACUGCAAUUACAAAUGACCGUUAUCUUUAAUAAAAACUGCCUACUAAUGAUAAAAUUGCCUAUCGUUCUUUUACGACCAGGGAUAUAAUGUUUUCUUGAUAAUUCCUUGAUUCCACUUCUUCAUUCUCUAUUGAAUCAGUUUCUGGCCGAAAUUGCUUGAAAAUUGCCUUUGUAAAAUUUCCCCAAGUGGCAAUUGAAUUGCCUGAAACCCAUAAUUGGUACUAUGCAACAUAUCUACCACUCAUCCACCGCACAACUUUUGGUAUUUGAUUUUCUUCUUAUAAACCUCCAGCAUCAAAAUAUUUCUCAACCUUGUCAUCCGUAACUCUUUGAGUACUCUUCUCCAAUCUAUAAAUUCCUUCAACAUAUCAUCAAAAAUACCAAACAUUCCUUCCAUUUGAUGACCACUCAAUUUUUUCCCUUUUUUUUCUGUCCAGGAUCAAAAGUGCUCUCAUACCGGUUGAUAGAUAUCAACUGAUACACAAAAAGAAAUAGGGAAAAUCCUUAACUUCGAGGGUCUACACCUCCUCUAAUAGCAAAAUGACCCAUUUCCAACCAAAUUCCAAGAUAUCCUCUAAUAGCAGUUUGUAAUAAGAAUAAAUAGGAAAAGGGGCCAGAUAGAGGGGGUUAUCUUGGAACUAGGUGGUUAGUGAGAGAGACCAAACUCUUCAACAUUUAGAAAGGGUAAAGGCCAAGGCUCUUGAAAUCGUAGUUAUUAUGUGAAAUUUGUGUGAUUCUAUUAAGUUAAAUCUGUUUGUAUCAAUCAAUAUCAGAAAUAGUCCCAAAUCUAUUUUGCAUUGGACGGGUACCUAUCAAUUACUUAGUAAUUUCAAUACAUCAUAUUCAAUAGAUUGCAGACUCUAAAAUGAAGAUUCGAUUAACCUAUUACUGAAUUAUUUUAAUUUUUUCCAAUAUAAGAGAAAAAAAAUUAUGACAUGAGAGAAAGAAAAGGUUCAACAGAAAAGAAUGAGAUGUUCUUCUGAAGUAAAUCACAAUAAGAAAAAACAAAUAAACGA